CGCUCCUCGGUGAUCCCAGCCUGAGAGCAGACCCUCCGGAACUCACAGCCGGGGGCCGUCCCCGCGGGGCACUGCCCGCUCAGCCGGCGCUCUCCACCUGGGCACGGAGUCACGAGGGGAGCGGGAACAGAACUCCGAAAUGCGUCCUGAGGUGUCCUGGGGACGAUAGGUUAUCACUGAAGGCUUUUUGAGGAAAUGCAUCACUGCUGUGAGCCUGGCUUCCUGCAGGACCUGCAUGGGAAUCGUUUCUUCAGCUGGCUUCAUCAUUAGCAAACUUCUUUCUGGUAUGAGCUGGUACCUCCUGAGACUUGUGAGGAGAUGUGGCCCAUCAGAUUGAUCCUUUUCCUGGCAUCAGUAGAAGGAUGUUACAAAAGCACUGACUGUUCCCUUUGGUCUGUUUAAAGACCAAAGAGACAGAAAUAAAAAGCAGUGCAGCAAUGAUUCUAGAAUAUUUUGCAAAUGAGAUGCACUUUGAAGUUUUUUGAACACUGGGACAUGUAAAAGGAAUGCCUGGUUGAGAAAUACUUUGAGCCAUAUGAACCAUAUUGUUUCUAUGAGUAUGCAGAGAGCACAGACUAGCUAAAUUUCAGCCUAGUCCAGCCUCUGAGGGGGGGUGAGCUCUGUUGUAGGCCUUAGAUCGCAGGUGAGAGACACAACAGCAUCACAGAUGACAAUGACAACCUGCAGACAGGUUGUAAUGCUUUUUUUCUUUGGUUUUUUUUUCCUUUCACAUUUAUUAUUACACCACAGUUGUGAUAGUCAUUUUCUU